rnacentral:rRNA from 1 species
AUUGAACGCUGGCGGCAUGCCUUACACAUGCAAGUCGAACGGCAGCACGGGAGCUUGCUCCUGGUGGCGAGUGGCGAACGGGUGAGUAAUGCAUCGGAACGUACCCGGAAGAGGGGGAUAACGUAGCGAAAGUUACGCUAAUACCGCAUAUUCUGUGAGCAGGAAAGAGGGGGAUCUUCGGACCUCUCGCUUUCGGAGCGGCCGAUGUCGGAUUAGCUAGUUGGCGGGUAAAGCCCACCAAGGCGACGAUCCGUAGCGGGUCUGAGAGGAUGAUCCGCCACACUGGGACUGAGACACGGCCCAGACACCUACGGGU